rnacentral:rRNA from 1 species
UACGUAGGGGGCAAGCGUUGUCCGGAAUCAUUGGGCGUAAAGAGCGUGUAGGCGGUCCGGUAAGUCGGCUGUGAAAGUCCAGGGCUCAACCCUGGGAUGCCGGUCGAUACUGCCGGACUAGAGUUCGGAAGAGGCGAGUGGAAUUCCCGGUGUAGCGGUGAAAUGCGCAGAUAUCGGGAGGAACACCUAUGGCGAAGGCAGCUCGCUGGGACGUUACUGACGCUGGAGGAGCGAAAGCGUGGGGAGCGAACAGG